UACAGAGGGUGCGAGCGUUAAUCGGAUUUACUGGGCGUAAAGCGUGCGUAGGUGGCCAAUUAAGUCAAAUGUGAAAUCCCCGAGCUUAACUUGGGAAUUGCAUUCGAUACUGGUUGGCUAGAGUAUGGGAGAGGAUGGUAGAAUUCCAGGUGUAGCGGUGAAAUGCGUAGAGAUCUGGAGGAAUACCGAUGGCGAAGGCAGCCAUCUGGCCUAAUACUGACACUGAGGUACGAAAGCAUGGGGAGCAAACAGG
rnacentral:rRNA from 3 species